UAACAAUAGCAUACGCGUGGUUUCAUCUCCGAUGUGGAGAGCUCUCCGCGUUUUAGGUCCACACACGUCCAAGGUGGACGUUCUCCUCUAGCGUGGCUUCUCCUCAGGAAGGGUGCAUGUGCUCCUCUCUGCUUUCGUCGCCAGCUAUCUUUUCUCGCGAUUCCUUCACGCAAGCUCCCUUUUUCACGGAUUUGGUUGAUCAGGUAAUCAUCAAAUCGAACCCUAGCCCCUUUGUCUUCAUCUCCUAAUUUCCUUUCCUCUGCCCUACCAAACGUUGUCUACAGCCUCUAUUUCUUGGGACUUUGCUUCCCCGUCUUUCAUCACAGGUUAGGGAUUUUCCCAUAGAGUCUCAAAUUGAAAAUCUGCAAUCAAUCAAUCAGGUAUGGGAUUUCUACCUAAUCUACUUCCUCAGUGGUGAUGUGAUUGCCAGAGUUUUCUAGCAAACUGUUGCAUAGACAUAAAGUUGUUUGCCCUGCAUUUAAUAGCUUCAUUGAGAAAAGAAUGGGCUUUGUGACACUAAGAUGGCAUCACCGUACUGUUUGUCUAACUAGCAAAUCCCCUCCUUCAAAGAGAAAUCCAUGGAGCAGGUUAUCUUCCCUUGAAAAUGUCUUCUGCACACUUAAUCAUGUUCUGCCAUAUAUUCUUCAUUGAAAAUGUGGGAAUCCUUAUCAAGGUAUGGGGUUUCUAUCUAAUCUAUUUCAUGAGUGGUGAUGUGAUUGACAGGAAUUGAUUGAUAGGUUCUUGGUCAUUUCUUUGCAUUUUGAUGAAACCUUUGGUUAGUCAACUCAAUUGCAUUUCAUUUUUUAAUUGGUUAUGCAAAAACUAUUGUAUAUUUCACCUCUUGCAUAGAACUAUAGUUGUUGGCCUGAAUUUAAGAGCUUCAUUGAGAAAGGAAUGGGCUUGUGCCACUAAAAUGGCAUCACGGUACUGUUUGUCUAACUAGCAAAUUCCUUCUUCCUAAGAGAAAUCCAUCCAGCAGGUUAUCUUCCCUUGAAAAUGUCCUCUGGACACAUAAUCAUGUUGUGCCAUAUAUUCUUCAUUGUAAAUGUGGGAAUCAUUAUCAAGGUAUGGGGUUUCUAUCUAAUCUAUUUUAUGAGUGGUGAUGUGAUUGACAGGAUUUUAUUGAUGUGUGCCUAUAAUUUUUUUCACAUUCAUUUGCUGUUUGGAACCUAUGUUUACCUAAUACAUUUACCAACUCUCAUUGCCAUGAGUAGAAUCAGUAUUUGGGGUAGUUGAUGACUGCCUUCCCUAUGGUCUAAUGAUAUGUAGGUGCACUGUAUUAGGCAUUGUGUGAUAUCUUCUUUUUUGGUCCCUAUUCCUUGAAUUCUUCAAACUUUGACUGGUUUUUUUUUGUUUUUUUGUUUUUGUUUUUUUAUCAUAUUUUCAUCGUGUGAUUAGUUCUCCCUAUGCCAUUGAAUGGAGAUGCAUAUGGACUGGGGUUUUCUUUUCCCUCCAUUUCCAUGUUCAAUUUGAAUUCAAAAAGGUGAGUCUUAUGCCCUGAAUUUUUUCUAUAAAAGGAUGGUUGGUGAACCACAUUCAAUGCACAGGUAUUCUGUUGUCUUCUAUUUUCUCCUAGGCUAUGUUUAUUCCAUAUAUUCUGUGUUUAUAUCUUCAUCUAUUUGAUAUGAUUUCUAAGAUGCAUCCUCGUAGAGAGGCUUGGAGGCUGAAAGUUAGGGUUCUAAGGCUUUGGGUUGUGCCCUCUUUUGGUAACCAUGAGGUUCCUAACUCAAUGGAGAUGAUUCUCCUUGAUAAGCAUGUUAGUUCCUUUUAGCUACUGUUUUAAAUAUGGUGUUAGUUGUUCUUUUUAAGUUUUCAACUUAAAAUUAUGUUUUUCACUAAUCUGAUUUUUUUUGUUGCAUUUCCAGUGUGAAAAAAUUCAAGCUACAGUUAAGAAACAACUUAAUAGGUUUAGGAUCAUAUAGUUGAAGGUCAAGUUUAUAGAAUGGCAUACUUUACUGUAGUGUCAAAUCAUGGUAGUAAUAGAGUAACUUCUCAUGAAUUCAAACUAGUUUUCCUUCACCAAACCACUGUUGUUCCUGUUGAUGAAGAUGUUAUUCCAAAGACUUAUUUCAACAUGUUUCCUUUUUCUGAGCUGCUGAACAUGACCCAAGAUUAUGAUUUUUUGGUUGGUAUGUAUAUCAUUGUGCUAUUCUUUUAUUCAAGUUUUUUUAAUGAAUUGUUUGAAUAUUUAGUAGGUUGUGUUUAUUUGGAACAAAUGUCAUUGGUCUUUUAACUUCGGUGGGAAAAGAAAAAGAAUAUGCAAAAGAGGGGAAAUCGUGAUGUCUAAUAUUUUAUUUUUGUUAUUUUAAUCUUUAGGCCAAAUUCUAAUUUGAUGUCUAAUAUUUUAAAUAUUUUAUUUUAGUCCAAAAUAAUUUUGGACGAGUUUAAUAUUAUUUCACUCUUAAAUUUGAUACAAAUUCUUUGUGUUAGAAAAGCAUAAUAAGCAAAAGUUUUUUGUAAUGCUUUUUUUUUUCUGUACAAGAUAUCUCAAACAACUAACCAUCAAUCAUCAGUACUCCAAAAUCAACUAAAUUGUGAGUACUCUGGGUAACCUGAUAGUUUCUGGAAUAUAAUGUGGUUUCAUAUUCGAUGUGGAGAGCUCUUCGCGUUUCUGGCCCGCAAACAUCCAAGGUGAACGUUCUCCUCCAACGUGGCUUCUCCUCAGGAAGGGUGUAACUGCUCCUCUCUGUUUUCGUCGUCAGCUGUCUUUUCUUGCGAUUCCUUCACGCAAGCUCCAUUUUUCAUAUAUUUUGUUUUUAUGUAUUUCAUAUUUAAUUGUUUCAAAAUA